rnacentral:tRNA from 1 species
GUGGGUGUAGUUCAAUUGGUUAGAGCACUGGAUUGUGGUUCCAGUUGUUGUGGGUUCAAGUCCCAUCACCCACCCCA